CUUAAGGAAUUAACAAGUUUUUAUUUGGCAUAAACUUUUAUGGAAUCCAACUCAUUUAUCAGAUGUAAAUCAGAUAUAGGCCCUCAAGUGGACUGGAGUCCACAAAAGCUUAGGCCAGGCAAAACAAUAGUACAGUAUAGUGACAUGGCUAUUCCACCCCCCACCCCCCCCCAUUUUUAGUUCUAAUGGGGCUUUGAAACACUGGCCCGCCAUAGAAAUACCUAGUGUUAUUGGAUUAUGUGCUCCUUGCAGCUCAGGGCAUGGUUGGUAAAAUUCUGUGCCCCUUACAGGUUCUUAUUUGCACCAUAGUCACUUGUGCCAAAUAUUAAGUGCUUGCAAGCACUUAAUAAACAAUGCCUAAGAUUCCCUAGCACUGAGCCAGGGCAAUUAAAGAGGUCUCAAACUGGAUUAUUUCUUUUGGAACCUGGAAGGCAGAACUUUGUAUGUGGCAUAGCCUGUCAAGUUAGCUUGAUGCUCUCCAGUGUGGCAAAGUACAGUACCUGUUGCCAGUGUAAGAUGUAACAACAAUUCCUGUUAGCUUUUGUACGUGGAACAGAGGUGGUAUACUCUUGCCUUGUACAAGGCAGCAUAAUAUCUUGGCUCAGCCCCUGAGCAGAGGUUACAUACAAGGCAGCUUCUGUUGCCAGCAAGUAAUGGUUGCCAACAUUUACUAUACCUUUGUGUUCCCAUAGUCACAUUGCCAUAAUCACAUUGCAUGUUUUCUUCUGCCUUUAAGAGCCACUUGACAGGCAGAAAUUCAACUUACUAUGUAGUUUUCUUCUGCAGAGCUGCAAUGAUGGUGAAGAUUUUACCUGGUCAAAGCUACACAACUGUGCUAGAGGAAAAGGGCCCAUGCGUUGAAAAUGUUGCUGCUCCUGUUUUGUCUCAUGGCUGCAGAUGCCUUGGAGGUGAAGAUUAGCCCUUCCCCAGUAAUAGGUCUGGUAUACAAGGAUGUUGUACUUCACUGUAACUUCACUGUUUGGGAAAGUGUCGAAAAGGAAGAUGUGGCUGUGAAGUGGACCAUGAAAAAAGUGGUGUCUGGAGAAGACAAACCAGUGUUUCAGUUCGAUGGGAAUCAUACAAAAUGUUACCGACAAGGUUCAUUAGUGAAUCCUGAGCUACUGCCCUACGGCAUCGCAUCACUCACUCUGUCCAAUGUGACAUUGAUGGAUGAAGGGAUUUAUACAUGCACCGUUUUAGUAAUGCCACAGUAUGGAAAUGGGAAGAUUCAACUUAAAGUCAGAGCCCAGCCUGCAGUUCAUUUGUCCCCCCAUAGUGUACUAACUGCAGCUGAAGGAGAGAAGACAUUUUCUUGUGAUGUCCGCAGCUUCUACCCUCAAACCAUUAAUGUCUCUUGGCUGAUCCAAAAGCAUGGCAGUGUAUAUGAGACACCAUUAUCUUCAGAUAUAUGCACUGGAAUCCCAUCUUCACAUGGCUUUGAUGGUUUGUUCACUGUGUUGAGUCGUGUAACCCAAAUGGUGAAUGUGAGCAACAGUGGCUCCUUGUACAUCUGUGAGGUGCAACAUGAGUCCCUGAAGAAACCACUGAGGAAGACUACAACAUUAUUGGUCACAGCGCCCCAAACUUAUCAUCAGGAAACAGGAUUUAUCAUCGGAGUAGCUGUUGCUUGCAUCGUUGUGACAGGUUUAUGCAGCAUAUUUUUAACCUUAUUUUAUCAAGAACGGCUUGCAAAAGCGGAGCCUCAGGUCUCCUCAAUCGUUAAGCCAGAUCUGAUCCCAAUUAAUGAAAAAAUCAGGCUGAUAUGCAACAUCAAUGGAUUCAGACCCAAAAAAAUCCAGGUGAAAUGGUAUCGGAAAAACACACAUAUGAUUCCAACAGGAGAUCCUGCAAGGGAAGAUGUGGCCCUUUCUGAUGCUAGAGAAGAUAUUACAAGCAUGGCUAAGCAACCCUUGGAAGCCAAUGGCCGAUAUUAUAGCAUUUCCUCCUGUCUAACCUACACACCUACUAUAAAGGAUGAUGGGGAGGAAUUUGAAUGCAACAUCCAGCACAGCACUCUCAAGAACCCAAUACUGAGAUCCACAAUUGUUCAUGUUACUGCUCGCCCAGCAAGUAAUUACAUCUUCAGUUCACCUCAGCUCCCUGUCCAGGGAGAGAAGCUCAUUCUGACCUGUGUUGUGGAGAAAUUUUAUCCAAAGGACAUUGCUUUGGUUUGGUUUCGAAAUGGACAGCCAGUUGAAGAGGUGACACAGUUUGGACCAUUCCCCUGUGAAAGUGACUUUUACAGCGUGUGGAGCCAGACAGAGUUUACCCUGACCAAAGACAAGGAAGGAGCCAUUUAUACUUGUCAGAUCCAACACAGCAGCUUUGGAAAUGUAGAAGAACUCUCUUACGAACUAAAUUUGCAAGGAACUCCUCCAGAAGUUUUCUGGAUCACUGCAGAUCCAUCAAUUCCUGUACCAGAAGAAGAGCUAAGGCUAAACUGCAGAAUCAAUAAUUUUUCCCCUAACUUGAUCAGUGUGAACUGGUUCAAAGAUGAGGAGUUAAUCCAUGAGAGGAUCUGCCACUCGGCUGCUGUAGUUGGCACCAAUGGUUUGCUCUCCAUGUGGAGUAUGCUGAGGGUUACCCCCAAGCAAGGAGCAAAAAAGACUGUAUACAAAUGCAGGGUGGAACAUGGAGCCCUGAAAGAAUGCAUAGAAAGAUCAUAUAUUUUGCAGUUGCCUAGUGUGUCCAGCCCACUUUGAUAACAUCUUUGAAUGAAUCCUUUUUAUGCUGUGACAAACUAACUUGGCCAGCUCUUUGACAAGUUGAACAAACAAAACAUGGGUAUAAAAAAGGUAUGCCCAAAGUGUGCUUUGAUAAAGUGAUGUGGAUAGAAAGUGGUGAGGUAGGAGAUUAAAUGUGACCUGACCAGCAUUCUGAUUCGCUUUCCUUGUAGGAUGAAAGGCAGCAUACUUUGGCUUUUGGCCUAAGAUCAUCAUCUGUAAAAAUACCUCACAGGGUGGCAGGGAGAUUAAAUUUCUGCUUACAGUAUGCUUUGAAGAUGUUCAUUUCUAAUUACUAAUAUUAAGGUGAAGCUAGUGCAAUGUAGCCUUUGGCUGCUCCUUUCAAGUAGUCAGAAUGCUGGGACAAGAGUGUUCAGUUGCAGGAGGCCCCUGUCUGGGGGACCCCUGGGCUUGAUACAGCAGGGGUCCCUCCAUUCUGGGGGUUUGGAGGGACCCUAUGGGAUUUUGGUAUCCAUGGGGCGGUGUGUGUGUGUCUGGAACGGAUUCCCCAUAGAUACCGAGGGCCCACUUUAUUUGAUAUUUUAGUAUGCAAUUUGUUUUAAUUAUUGUAGUAAUUUAAUUCUGUUUUAAUGUUCUAUUUUGUAUGCUUUUAAUUUUCUGUUUUUUAAAAUAUUGUACACCACCAUGAGUCCAGUCUUGGGAGCAGGUUGGGAUGUAAAUAAAUAUACUACUACCACUACUACUACUACUAAAAAUAAUAAUAAUUUUUACAGCCAGUAGAGAUGUUAUGACAGAUGUAGGUCUUUAUGCAGGAAUCAGACCAUUUUUCAGUCAUUUUGAUGAGAUGGUUAUUAAUUUAGACUUCAAUCCUGUGCACACUUACUUCGAAAAAAUCUUCAUUGAACUUAAUGGGAUGUGCUUCUAUGAAUGUGAUGUGCUUCCACACAUGGCUUUUAAACUAAAUUGCAUCCAGAAAAAAGUUGCUUUGGAAAUACUUACCACAUGCUGCCAUCUCCAAUCAGUAGUUGUUGUGUCACUGAAGUGUGGUUAGGACAUCCCUUUUCAUUGAUGUGGGGGGUGGGGGGGGUGAGCUCAAUGAGCUCACAAUUGUGCUAGUUCCUGGUGCAAAAUAUUGCUGCCAGGUCAGCUGCAGUAUUGGUGGUCGCAUGGUGUCAGUUUCUCCUCCUCUCCCC